AACGAACGCUGGCGGCAGGCCUAACACAUGCAAGUCGAGCGAAGCCUUCGGGCUUAGCGGCGGACGGGUGAGUAACGCGUGGGAACGUGCCCUUUGGUACGGAAUAGCCCCGGGAAACUGGGAGUAAUACCGUAUGUGGUCGAGAGACGAAAGAUUUAUCGCCAAAGGAUCGGCCCGCGUUGGAUUAGGUAGUUGGUGGGGUAAUGGCCUACCAAGCCGACGAUCCAUAGCUGGUUUGAGAGGAUGAUCAGCCACACUGGGACUGAGACACGGCCCAGACUCCUACGGGGGGCAGCAGUAGGGAAUCUUAGACAAUGGGGGAAACCCUGAUCUAGCCAUGCCGCGUGAUCGAUGAAGGCCUUAGGGUUGUAAAGAUCUUUCAGUGGGGAAGAUAAUGACUGUACCCACAGAAGAAGCCCCGGCUAACUCCGUGCCAGCCGCCGCUGUAAAAC
rnacentral:rRNA from 1 species